AACGUAGGAGACAAACGUUAUCCGGAGUUACUGGGCGUAAAGGGCGUGUAGGCGGUUAGUUAAGUCUGGCGUGAAAGCUCUCGGCUAAACCGGGAGAGGUCGUUGGAUACUGGCUGACUAGAGGACGGUAGAGGCGUGUGGAAUUCCGGGUGUAGUGGUGAAAUGCGUAGAGAUCCGGAGGAACACCGGUGGCGAAGGCGACACGCUGGGCCGUACCUGACGCUAAAGCGCGACAGCAUGGGGAGCAAACGGG
rnacentral:rRNA from 1 species